rnacentral:lncRNA from 1 species
UCUCCUCUAGCGUGUGUCUCUGGGGCCUGCUGUGUGGCCGGGUGUUGGCUGCGGCUUGCAGUAAACUUCUUGGAGGAGAAUUGGCAUUGCAAGGGUGUUACUGGAGACCUCGGCAAGAAAGUGAAUGCAAAGACAGAUGACCCAGGAACCCGUGAUGGAUAAGGCUCUUGACAGCCAGGACGUGGAAUUACAGGGGGUCUCUUUGAGAGACAAAAUAAAAAAAAUAGCCCAGUAAUCUUCCUUCCACCCUUUUCUCCCAGAUCUAAUUACAGAUGUCUUGACAUUCCUUCUGCAUAGAAUUUCCUUAAAAGAUUUGCCAAGAAGAAACAUUUGGAAACUGUGUUUUAGGUAUAAUCCGUCUGGGAGUCACUCUUGCUCGCUUUGUCGUUAGAUGACAAAACGCUUAAUUACAGCGAGCACAAUGUAUACCACAUUUGGAAAACUGGAUUCUUGACCUAAAUAAUGUACCCCAUACUGACAAUGGCCUUUUGGCAAAACUUGUGUCUCUGAUCUCACAUUAAUUACUACACAAAUAUACUUAUUGUGGGCACCGAGUUUAUGGGAUGGAGUCCUCUUGACACAUGUUCACCAUAAAAACACAUUUUUUUCCCUUCCCCUGACCCUAAGGAAAAGAAAAAAAAAAAGAUUAACAUUUUUCAAGAUGCUGUUUUAGUGACAUGAAAACUGUCUGUUGAGUGUUCACUCGGCUUUUGUUCUUUUUCUUUUCUCCUUUUAUUAAAAAGCCUUUCAAACCAAG